CUAAGAAGGAUACAGUGGCUAGAAGUCGUCCUGUCGUCCUGCCUCACAGUAACAUCGUUACCGAAUUCUCAGCAGGUGAACCAAAUGAAAUGGUCAACUGAAAGCCAACCAGGGGUCUUGUCCUGUCACUCUGGCUGGAAUACAAUGGCGUAAUCAUAGCUCACUGCGGCCUCCAUCUCCUGGGUUCAAGUGAUUCUCCUGCUUCAGCUUCCCAAGUAUCUGGGACUACAGCAAAAAAUCACCAUGUACCAACCUAUCCAAACUUAUCCAUGGAUGAAUCUAUCCAGAAGACGGGAGUUCCGAUGCUUGUCUUGCUCUGAAUGUCUGCUUGUCACCUGCUUAGGGUUAUCGACUGUGAUUCUGGGACUCAUUGUUGUU
rnacentral:lncRNA from 1 species